CAGUAGCCGCGGGAAUACGUAGGGUGCGAGCGUUAAUCGGAAUUACUGGGCGUAAAGCGUGCGCAGGCGGUUCGUUAAGACAGAUGUGAAGUCCCCGGGCUUAACCUGGGAACUGCAUUUGUGACUGGCGAGCUAGAGUAUGGCAGAGGGGGGUAGAAUUCCACGUGUGGCAGUGAAAUGCGUAGAGAUGUGGAGGAAUACCGAUGGCGAAGGCAGCCCCCUGGGCCAAUACUGACGCUCAUGCACGAAAGCGUGGGGAGCAAACAGGAUUAGAUACCCGCGUAGUCCCUGUCUCUUAUAC
rnacentral:rRNA from 1 species